rnacentral:rRNA from 1 species
UAACACGUGAGUAAUCUGCCUUUAGGUGGGGGACAACUUCGGGAAACCGGAGCUAAUACCGCAUAAUGUUAUUUGUUCGCAUGGACGAAUAACCAAAGGGGGGCACUUCUAUCCUCCCGCCUGAAGAGGAGCUCGCGCCUGAUUAGCUAGUUGGUGAGGUAAAAGCUCACCAAGGCGAUGAUCAGUAGUCGGUCUGAGAGGAUGGCCGGCCACACUGGGAUUGAGAUACGGCCCAGACUCCUACGGGAGGCAGCAGUCUAGAAGCUUCGGCAAUGGGGGAAACCCUGACCGAGCGACGCCGCGUGCAGGACGAAGGCCUUCGGGUUGUAAACUGCUUUCGACUGGGAGGAAAGGUAGUGUAGUUAAUACCUGCAUUGCUUGACAGUACCAGGAGAAGAAGCCCCGGCUAACUCCGUGCCAGCAGCCGCGGUAAUACGGAGGGGGCAAGCGUUGUUCGGAUUUAUUGGGCGUAAAGCGCGCGUAGGUGGUUAAGUAAGUCGGAUGUUAAAGACCCACGGCUCACCCGGGGGAAUGCGUCCGAUACUGCUUGGCUAGAGUACAGGAGAGGGAAGUGGAAUUCCUGGUGUAGCGGUGAAAUGCGUAGAUAUCAGGAGGAACACCGGUGGCGAAAGCGGCUUCCUGGCCUGUAACUGACACUGAGGCGCGAAAGCGUGGGUAGCGAACGGGAUUAGAUACCCCGGUAGUGCACGCGGUAAACGUUGGAUACUAGGUGUCGGGGGUUUUCUACCCCCUCGGUGUCGCAGCAAAUGCAUUAAGUAUGUGUGCCUGGGGAGUACGAUCCGCAAGGUUGAAACUCAAAGGAAUUGACGAGGGUCCGCACAAGCGGUGGAGCAUGCAGGUUUAAUUCGACGCAACGCGAAGAACCUUAGCAGGGUUUGACAUCACUGUAAGGAACCGUGCUUUCCUGGAAACAGGAAAGCUUAGGUAGAGCAGGUGUUGCAUGGCUGUCGUCAGCUCGUGUCGUGAGAUGUUGGGUUAAGUCCCGCAACGAGCGCAACCCAUAUCACUAGUGCACAUCAGUUUAGCGAGGGACUAUAGAGAAACAGCCGGUGUCAAGCUGGAGGAAGGUGGGGAUGACGUC